AAAUGCGAUAAGUAGUGUGAAUUGCAGAAUUCAGUGAAUCAUCGAAUCUUUGAACGCACAUUGCGCCCCUUGGUAUUCCAUGGGGCAUGCCUGUUCGAGCGUCAUUUGUACCCUCAAGCUCUGCUUGGUGUUGGGUGUUUGUCCCCGUCUCCGCGCGUGGACUCGCCCCAAAGUGAUUGGCAGCCGGCGUACUGGUCCCGGAGCGCAGCACAUGUCGCGCAGACGAGUGCCUUGGUACGGCGGCGUCCAUAAGCCCCUCUCUCACGCUCUUGACCUCGGAUCAGGUAGGGAUACCCGCUGAACUUAAGC
rnacentral:misc_RNA from 1 species